GUGGGAUGGGGCUUAUGGAAGGGUAACCUGGAUGUGAGAUAGCAUUUGACAUGUGAAUGAAUAGAAUGCUUACUAAAUAAAAGAAAUUAAACAAAGAAAAACAAUGGUUAGGGCUGCUCAGUCCAUACUACACGAGUCUCCAGGUUCUCCUGGACUUGACAAUAGUUUAUAGAAUCAUGGGAAACAAAGUUCCAAGCCCACAGAGACAAUGCCUUAUAUAUAUUCAAUAUUACUUAGCAUCUCAAGGCUCACCUAUUCCUUUCCGUUCCUUCCUCUAACAUUAACAAACAUUGAUCCCCUCAACAUGAGCUUCAAGUGUGUCCCUCAUAACCUUCCAUGUAUCAGCAAAUCAGGAAAUCUGCUAGUAGACCCCGGUCUGACUUGACUCUACCGGACAGUCAGGCAUUCAUAAAAGAAGGCAAAAUGACUCCCCACAAGGCAGGUGGAUCUUACCUCAGAAAGGGCACAAUGUUCCUGCUGAGACAGCAUCUUGUAUCGAGACAGAAAGCUAAACCAGACCUAGACACUAUGGUAAGAAUGAGUCUUGGGGUAUGAGAUGCCCUCUUCUCACCCACUAAUCUGUGUCCUAUCCCUUCUCCAACUUUCAUGACCCCCUGGAUGUCACUAUGGAGUUACCACUUGGAAUGGUUGCUUUAGGUUAAGGAUCCAAGCCAGGGUGAAGACCAGAAUACAAAGCAAAUCAUGGCUUCCUACUUCUCUAUAUACAGAGACAGAUGGAGAUGUUUUCCAAAUAAUCUAGCAAAAGAAGACAAAGCCCAAGCAGUCCAUAUGGUUACUGACCCUAUGGAUGCCUUAGCAGGUAGAGCCCAAUCCACUGAGCCCUUGCAGACAUGUGGAUAGAAUACCUACAAGCCCAAGUCUUCAAAGAGGGUAAACUCUUCACUCAGACUCUGCUCAAAAAUAGAUUAGAACAAAGCCCCUGUAAGAUGGCCUUCUGAGUGAGUGCAGCCCUAUUGGGGUGAACCACACCAGGGGUCUGUGAGUCAUGGAACUGUUUCGAGGUGACAGGCACAGUAGAUCUCUGGAUCCAGGCUCACAACCAUCUCAUACUUGGAAUAUCCCAUCAGCACCUGCUCUACCUGAGUUGUUGUCUUGGGAUUUAGAACAUCUGGUGGGAAAAGACUAGGUCACCCAGCAAAAGGCUUUAAAAGACAGGGUCUUAUGGCUUAGACUUUUUUUAAAAAAGCCUUGGUGUUAACAUCAUGGAGGGAGCAAUAGGCAAUCCCCUGACCAGUGGCUUAUAUCAACACUUUGUGGAUUGAGGACCUGGGAGAAUUCAAAUCAUGCCAAGUCAACAAGAUAGAGGGUCCCUAUGAAAAGCUACCAGAAGCAUUGUCCUCUUAAACAGGCAGAGGCACACACACCUUUUCCUUGACAAACAUGACAGCAUGUCAGUCUUGUACCAGUGUGCAUAUACCUAGGGAGGAAGCAUUCUACCUCUUCAGAUCCCAUGUUGCAUGAGGUACAAAUAAAGGGGUCUGACUUUUCCACCUGGAGCCACCAAAGAGAUAUUCACUGAGAAGCCUGUUGCUCCCAAACAAGCUGAAGCUGAACUCCUAGUGUCCAUCUGGACGUGCUUAUCUCCAAGGUCCAGCAGCUGGAACUUAAGUGAUGUGGCCUGGGAAAGAACCGAGAAUGCACCUUGCUCUCGUGUUGUUUCAUGGCUAGACAUCUUUCUGCAUAAACUCCAGCAUCACAAAGUCACCUUUUGUUCUCCUGUCUAUGUUGAAGGACUUUGAUGACCACAACUCCUCUGUUCUCUGAAAGAGGAGAUGCUGCCAACUCAAGCAAGAGUAAAAGUAGAAAGGAGAAGCCAAAAUCGAAGACAGAAGAAGCAAGGAAAGGAAUGGAAAAGACUUGUUCCUCCAGAGCAAAAGCAGUGAAAGAGAAAGGGCCUUCUGAAGUUGAUGUGUGUUCUGCUAAAUCCAACAAGGACAAGAAGGACGAUGAGCCUCAAGACCACAAUGCUUGUAAAAGCAAAACAUCCCAGAAGAAAAGGAGUCCCUUGAGAAGAAAACAGCCAAUGGGAAAAAACACAGAGACAAAAACCAGGAAGUUUCUGAAGCAGAGGCAGACAUGCCCAAGCCCAAGGAGAAGAAAGGGAAAGAAGUUAAUGAGACAAGGGAGAGAAGAGCCCAGGCUCAAGAAUGUCCUCUCCCAUUCCGAACCAAACUCCAACUCCAGGGAUGCUCCUGGGGAAGAAAAUAGUAAUGAGAUAGAAAAGGAAAUACUCAUGGAGAAGAAAGGAUUCUCUCUAAUUUUCCCAUACCCGAGGAGACUGUCAAGCUUCUCAAAGCUCAAAGCUUGAGGGGUGAACUACCCAUUUUUUCUAAAAACCAAGACAUUCAGUCAUGUAUACAGUGAGACAGACUUCAUUGCCCAGGCAUGGACAGUAAGCAGGAAGUCCUUCUCCUUUGCCGUCCCUUUGAUUGGGUAACUUAAAGGUGGACUUCAAGAGAGGAAGAGAGGCCAAGCCAAUCAGAUACUACUGCUGCACCUACAAGAGAAUUAGCAAAUCAAAUGAGCAAAGACUUCAGUGACAUCGAUAAAAGCUAUCAGUGUUUUUUAUGGUGAAACUCCCUAUGGUGGUAAACGAGAACAAGUGCAGAGUGGGAUUGAUAUCCUGGUUGGGACCCCAGCUCAUAUUGAGGAUCACUUGCAGAAUGGCAAGCUAGAUCUCACCAAACUUUAACAUGUUGUCCUGGAUGAAGAUGACCAGAUGUUAGAUACUGGUUUUGAAGAUCAAGUGGAAGAAAUUUUAUGUAUAGCAUACAAGAACGAUUCUGAAGGCAACCCGCAAACAUUGCUUUUUCUCUGCAAAAUGGUCUCAUUGGGUAUUUAAUGUUGCUAAAAAUAUACAAAACCUACGUAUGAACGGGUGGACCUGAUUAGGAAAAGACUCAGAAAGCAGCCUUAACUGUGGAGCACAGGAGACAGAGAGGACAGUGGUGAGUGGGGAUGUGUUCCGAGGCUACAGUGGUCCUCAAGGGGACAUGUUGAACUUCUGUGAAUCCACGAACAGUGGCAGGAGCUGUCACAAAACACAUGCAUAAAGCAGGAAUGCCCAGUCCUUACAUGGGGACAUUCUGCAGAAGCAAAAGGAAAUCAACCUGAAAGGUGCUGAAAUGGCAAUUUUGUGGGUUUACUGGCUGCAAGUGGGUUAGACAUCCCCGAGGGUGACCUGGUUGUUCAUAGAUGUACACCAAUGGAAAUGGAGUCUUUGAUCUUUCAAGAAGAACAGGCAGAGCUGGAAGGAUAGGGGUUUGAACUGCUUUUACCAAAGAAGAGUACCAGUUACCCCAGGUGGAGCGGAAAGCCAGCACUAAAUUUGAACGAAUAGGUCUUCCUUCUGAAACAAAUAAUGAAAGCCUCCAGCAAAGAUGCCAUCAGACUAUUGGACUCUGUGCCCCCACUGACGUUGGCCAUUUCAAGCGGUCAGCUGAGACGCUGACUGAGGAGAAAGGAGCUGUAGAGACCUGGUAGCUGCUCUAUCUCCACAGAUCAAGGGCCACAUCGGUCGACCAGUGCUCCCUGAUCCACUGCCCAGCAGCCUUUGAGACCAUGAUACUGCAGUGCUUUGUUGAGAUGUCCAACUGAGCAAUGCUUGGAAGGAACUUGAGGAGCAGCUAGGCAAGAACAUCGAUGCCAAAAUGAAGGGGAUGGUCUUCCUCAAAGGAAAACCGGAAGUUUGUUUUGAUGUCUGCACUGAAGCAGACACAGAAACACAGGUGAAGUGGCACGGUUGGAGAUGCUAGCAGCUCACCGUGGCCACUGAGGAGCCAGAGCUGAAAGGACCCCCAGAAAGAUAUCAAGGGGGCAGGGGCAGCAGAUGGCAGCCAUGGUGAUUUCAUGGGACAGCAGGGUGGAAGCAGGAACUUCCUGGAUCAGGGCAGGGACAGCAAGGAGGAAGUAGAAACUUCAGAGGACAAUGACCAAGAGGUGACAACAAAAGGUACCAGAACCACAAUCAAAGGCCAGAAGUGGAGUUU
rnacentral:lncRNA from 1 species